CGAUCGCUUCCAGGACGUCAUCAUCAUCAUCAUCAUCACCGGCAUCAUCGGGGGGCCGACCCAUGAUCUUGGGUGUGAGCGAGCGAGGUGGCGUAGUCAGCAAACUUAUCAAACUCAUUCCACUUCUGCUGCUUCGCGGCGCAGAGCACCGUAUGUUGAGCAGGUUUUUGUCUAUAUGUGCAACAGCACUGCGCCCCGCCGCCAAGACCACAGGACGACGACAAGUUCUCCCUGCCUUGGCACGCCUGCCCUGGGAACGCACUGGGACACAGCGUACCGGGCCGAGGGUUUGGUGGAGCAAAAGUAUUAAAAUUUAACUGGUAAAACUCGUUUUACGAAACACGCAACAGGAGUGCUUCUUCUUCCUGCGUUCUUGGGCAAUUUUGCGCACACACACACACACACACACACACUGCCCGAGAUGGAACCACUUGUUCGGAAGUUCUAGUGAGGAUGACGCUGGCUGAUGCUUUGGCCGAUGUGUGUUUUGAUGCUGGAGAACUUGUACUAUUGGACUGCAGAAUUGGAUGUCUUAGUUUCGGGAGCAUCCAUUCUUCAAGUUUGAUGAAGUAGAAUCCAGGAUCUCCAAUCUAGCUGGUGCCGUGACCAGGAUUGAGGAUAGAAAAAAAACGAGUCAACAUCAACAAGAACUCGUCUAGUACAGGGAGGGCCAAUCAUGGGAAAAUAUUGAUACCAACAUGCAUCCAUCAGCCAAUGCACUCGGUCCAAGAACGCGGCUGUCCAAAUUCCAAACAGUACAGUGUAUCAUGUCGCGCAACAUUCUUCCUCGAGAGACCCUCGAUGUGUUGGACCAGUAACGCACUGAAUGUCUUCAUUUACCCCACGUCCUCCUCUCCAAUGCCAACGGAACUAACCGCAACAUCUAACACGAAUGUCUGCCCAAUCCAAACCCUCCCUCUUCAGCUUUCAGGGUCCCCAGACUGCCGUCCCAAAAACCCGCUGCUUGAGAGCUGCUGAAAUAUGCAAAUUCCAUGCCCGUGUUGUCAAAAAACUGCAACUGCGCAUGCACCGCACUGUCAUUCCUCAGCACUCCUGGUCGGGAGUUUUUGUUUUCGCGGGCAUUACAUAAAAGGGGGAAGAGUUUUGGCUUUCCUUUUUUGAGGACCCCUUCCAUUAAGAUUAGCAUUGGAUGAUGUUUGCGCUGACAAGUCUCAAACCUCGCCUCAUAUUAAUGCUGAUGAGGAGCUCCCGAGCUGUUGUCGCUCGCUAUUCGAUGAGACUUUCGGUUUUUUUGCGUGAAGAAGAAGUGAUGCCUCCAACUGCUCCAACGCUCUCUCGUUAUGAGUCGCAUUUCAAGCACUCGUAACCGAAGCGCGUCUAGGCUCUUGGCACUUGCGUUCCACUAACUUCAAGGCAGCUAACAGCAAAAAAAAACUGCUGCAAUUAACGUAACAAAAACGCAUUCAUUAAGAAGCCCUGACUGGCUGCCUGGGCAACACUGGCCAUUUACGCGUGGUUUGAAUUUCACCAAGAACUCAUCGUGCCCGUAUCCGUCCCAAAUCGAGGAUCAAAACGGGUGAAGCGAUAGCCGACUGCGAAUCGUCGUUGGAAGCGCUAAAUCGAGGAUAAACAUAGGCCUCCGGCGUACCGUCACGAUGGACACACCCUAUCAUUUACCGGAAAAGGGCCACCGGUUUUUGGCGCCCGGUUUGGUGAAGGUAGCCUGCACAGUUCUGACAAGGGAUGUUUUCGGCCGGACCUCCCCGAUGCCUACGUAACGCUUUUGGCUUGAUUUAUGAACCUCAACAUCAAUUCUCGAUGAGAACUCUGGACAUGGUGAUUUCCAAGAACAAACCAAUGCAACCGGGCAUCCGUACAGUGCGUGCUCGGGAGAAGAAACCUCACGUCCGCGAGAUUUGGAAACCCUACAACUGUGGCUACAACCACAGAAAUAGACGUUGCAUGUGGCCGACUCCAAUAA